AUUGAACGCUGGCGGCAGGCCUAACACAUGCAAGUCGAGCGAGCGGCGGACGGGUGAGUAAUGUCUGGGAAACUGCCUGAUGGAGGGGGAUAACUACUGGAAACGGUAGCUAAUACCGCAUACCAUCAGAUGGGCCCAGAUGGGAUUAGCUAGUAGUGGGGGUAAUGGCUACCCUAGGCGACGAUCCCUAGCUGGUCUGAGAGGAUGACCAGCCACACUGGAGCUGAGACACGGUCCAGACUCCUACGGGAGGCAGCAGUGGGGAAUAGUGCACAAUGGGCGCAAGCCUGAUGCAGCCAGGCCGCGUGUAUGAAGAAGGCCUUCGGGUUGUAAAGUACUUUCAGCGAGGAGGCGUUACUCGCAGAAGAAGCACCGGCUAACUCCGUGCCAGCCGCCGCGGUAAUUC
rnacentral:rRNA from 1 species